rnacentral:rRNA from 1 species
AGAGUUUGAUCCUGGCUCAGAACGAACGCUGGCGGCGUGCCUAACACAUGCAAGUCGAACGGGGAUAAGUAGCUUGCUAUUUAUUCUAGUGGCGCACGGGUGAGUAACGCGUAGAUAAUCUGCCUUAGACUCUGGGAUAACAUCUCGAAAGGGGUGCUAAUACCGGAUAAGCCCACGGGGACGUGAGUUCUUGCGGGAAAAGGGGGCCUCUGCAUAUGCUCUUGAUCUAAGAUGAGUCUGCGUACCAUUAGCUUGUUGGUAGGGUAAUGGCCUACCAAGGCGACGAUGGUUAGCUGGUCUGAGAGGAUGAUCAGCCACACUGGGACUGAGACACGGCCCAGACUCCUACGGGAGGCAGCAGUGGGGAAUUUUGCGCAAUGGGGGAAACCCUGACGCAGCAACGCCGCGUGAGUGAUGAAGGCUUUCGGGUCGUAAAGCUCUGCCUAGAGGGAAGAAGUGAUAUUCGGUUAAUACCCGGGUUUCUUGACGGUACCUCUGAAGGAAGCACCGGCUAACUCCGUGCCAGCAGCCGCGGUAAUA